CUGCCGCCCUCUUCCAGCCAUCAGCGCGGCACACGCCCCUCUCCCUACCAAGGUCGCCGGCAGCGCGGAGAAGAAGCUCCUCUCCUUUCUAAGCCGGGUGGAAGAGCGGAGGAGGAGCUGGACGCGGCCCUCUGCCUCACGAGUCGGAUGGCGGCGUGGAGGAGCUGGACAUCCUUCUCUCUCCCUCCUGAGAUGGUUGGCGGCGCGGGAAGGAGCCCCUCGAUCUGCACCUCCGCCGGUCUCCCAUGGGAGCUUCUCUCCCUGGCCAAGAUCUUCCUCCAUGAGAGAGCCGCGGGAGGAGGCCAAGAUGCCGCCGGCCCUGCCCCUCCGCUCCUCCCUCCCCUCUCCUCGCCAUGCCUGUUCGCGCUGAUGGGCGUAGACCGGUCAGCGGCAGCGGGCCCUUCUCUCUCCCCUGCUUGGUGGUGGACGGCGCGAGAUGACCACGUCAAGUGGUGCCGUUGCUCUGCCGAAUGGUGCGGUGGCGAGCGCCGGCGGCGCGGUAGUGGGAGCUGGCCGUCGAUGGGGAAGGCUUCGUGGAGGGCAGAGGAGGAACAAGGCCAGGACAUUUGAGCACUCAGCACCAUCCUUGGGCUCGGUACAGACGCCGCUCGGCCGCUACGGAGUCGCAGUCGCAGCCAACGCCGCCGGGCUCUCCUCCGUGCGCGGAGUGUAUUCCAAAACCUGAAGAUCGGAGCAGCCGAGCGGCACUUUGCGGCAGGCCCGGUGUUUCCCGUUUGCGGCUGCUUACCAUAGCUAUGCAGCCUGUGCCUACGUACCCCAUACGCGGGGCGCACCCAUCGGCAAUUGGGUAUCUUUCAUGGUGAGUUUUCUGCUUUUGCUGCUGUCGGGCGACUCCCUGAUCCGCUCAGUGGCGUUCUCCCAAACACCAGGAGGCCAUUGGGCUGCGCAACUUUUGUGGUCGGCGCCGAAUUGUUUGCGCACUUGGCCUCCUACUGGCAUCAAGCGGACCAGGAUUUAAAUUUAACUCCGUCUCGACAGGUGACCUGUUGGAUAUGACAAUGGUGUUCGUCUCUAUUUUUUUUGGGCUUCCAAUUAAUUUAAGUGGGUUGUCUUUGUUGUUCUGUCUAGGUGAUCCCGGUGCUACUAAUUCCAUUGAUCCAUCUUUGACUAUAUCCAUUGGCUCUGUUUAUCCUCCAUUUUUAGGGUGUUCUUUUUCAGAUGAUAGCAAGUACCUUCUUUUCCAUGUCCUUUCGAUUGUCAUUUUAGUUGUGCCUAAACAAGUAAAUAUUUGUUCAAUAGUGAGUGGGGGUUUCCAUUCUAUGUUCACUUCUCUUUCAUUGUUUUUUAUCUUACAAAUGGUGCUAUUAAUCGUAGGUGAGCAGAUACAACAUAUAUUGCUGUUGUGUACUAUGUCAGUGUAAUAACAUUUGAUUACCAUGUAUGGGCAGACAUGUUUAUUCAGCAAGAUAAAUGAGGUGACGUACAAGAAAUUGGAUUCGAUAGAAUAGCAAAAGGCAAACUCAAAAUUGUUUCUCCCCACACUUAUUGAGAAAUAUUGUUACCAGGUUCCAAAACAGUUGGUAGUAGAAUGGUAGGCCAUUGAGGCUGUGAAGUAGUGAAAGCAAUUAAAGUUGAAUGUAGGAGGAUCGAUUGGGCACAACAACGGAGAAUAAAACUAAGUAAUUUCUCCGAGCAUGUAAUAUUGAGUUAUAAAAUUAAAAACAUGGUUAUGCCUCAGCUCUUUCUUUAACUAGAUUAUAGUCAUGGCCCUACUAAUUCUCGCCAUCUUCAAGUGUAAAUGCGUCAUACCAAAAAGUUCAAUUUUCAAUGGACGCUCUUAGUUUUCCAUACAUUGUAAAGAACGGAGGUAAAGUAUCAUAGUUCCUUAUACAAUGCAGCCAGGUGAUUUGCUCUGUCGGGUUCCUUCCUGGCCAGUCAACAGCGAGGAGGGGAUCGCCCAGGCUUCGUGUUCCCCCUUCAGCUAUUUGCGUUAAACGGUCUCCUCUUUUUUAGGGUACCCGUACUGCCUCCCUCUUCUGAUUUGCCUUCCUAGGUAUUUACUCUCUGUGUCAUCCUUAGCCGCCAAUCUUGCAAGGUAUCAUUGUAUGCCAAUAGGAACCCCUUCUACAGGAUGAGGUAGAUCCUCCAUCGUGCAUGACUUAUUUCCUUUCUUCUUACUGAAUCCCUAUUUUUUCGAUCUAUUCAUCAGCCUAGGUCACUAUUCCAUUUUUCUUAAUGGUUCCCUUAUUAUUUUGGUCUAUGCCUUGGCCUAGGUUGCUCCUUUCCCCAACAUCCAUUUUAAUUGACCAAUUUAUAUUUGAUUUUUCCAUUAUUGGAGCUGCCUUUGGUAACCAUUGUUCAUGUCCACCAUUACCGAACAUAUUUUCUUGCAGAUUCAUUAGAAGAGCAGCCAUGCAGACAUCUUUGGUGAAGGAUCUGUUACCUCAAGGAUUUCAAUGGAAGAUCACUUUGCAUGCCAGCUCAAAUCUGGGAACAUAGGGAUGACCAAAAUUUGUUUGAGCUGGACUUCAUUUUGGUUGACCAGGAGGUACCUUCUAAAUAUUCAGGAGUAACUUUUCGACUUCAACUUAUCUGCUUUGCUUAUGAACUGAACUUGCCUACUUCACAAGCAAGCCAACGAAGGGAGGAUGAGUUAUUUAACCCCUUAUCUGUCAGUACCACUAUAUUAUGAAAAACAGUCUGUGGACACUUACUUUUUUUCUUUUUGACAUCAAGCAUGCAUGUACAUCUAAUUACAACGCUUAUAUUUUCAAGUGACCGACUUUCUGCAAUAUAGUCAAGGGAUGCUAAAUUCCCAUCUGUUUUAUGAGCAUGUAUCAAUGCAUAAUCAUUAGCAGUGUUGUUUUGUGCGUACACUAUACUGUACUGCAGAAAGUAGAAGUUUUACAAAAAGCGGCGGUUGUAUCAUCGAUCGUCAGCACCACAAGAUGCCUGUGGUAUUUUUGGUGGUGUUGAUGAGUUAUUGGCACUAAUAAGAAAGAAAGGGACUGAGAGGUAUGCUAUUACUUGGCAAGUGUUGCGACUAAACAGGUUAAAGAUGAGUUUCAGCCAAUUACUCUCUUUGUUGAACACGUGACAGAGAUGAGUAAAUCAAAGGAAACGAUGCAGCUCAGAAGAUCUAGGUCAGCACCUGUUAGACUGUGAGAGGCAGCCUUGAUUUUGAUUUCUAAUUCCAGUCUAAUUGUACGACUAUGUUACUAUGUAGAUAUUGGUUCCUCUUUGGCAUGAAGAUCUUUUAUAAUAUUGGAAUUGGAGAGCACACAGGCCUUUAAUUGAUCUUUUAAUAAUAUUUGGCCAAAACUGAUUCUAGGUGAUCUUAUUUUCA